rnacentral:rRNA from 1 species
CCUACGGGUGGCAGCAGUGGGGAAUAUUGCACAAUGGGCGAAAGCCUGAUGCAGCAACGCCGCGUGAAGGAAGACGGUUUUCGGAGUGUAAACUUCUGUUCUUAGUGAAGAAUAAUGACGGUAACUCAGGAGCAAGCCACGGCUAACUACGUGCAAGCAGCCGGGGUAAUACGGAGGGGGCAAGAGGUGUCCGGAAUUACUGGGUGUAAAGGGAGAGGAGGCGGUGAGCAAAGUCAGCUGUGAAAACCACGGGCGUAAACUGUAGACUGCAUUUGAAACUGGGUUUCUUGAGUUGAGGAGAGGUUAGCGGAAUUCCGGGUGUAGCGGUGAAAUGCGUAGAUAUUCGGAAGAACACCGGUGGCGAAGGCGGCCAACUGGGCUUUAACUGACGCUGAGGCUCGAAAGUGUGGGGAGCAAACAGGAUUAGAUACCCCAGUAGUC